rnacentral:rRNA from 1 species
AUGUACAACACCAUGAUCGCCAUACACGGCAAGGCGCUGGAGGACGACCAGGCCGGGAGCCUGGUGCAGCAAAUACAGGCCAGCGACAUCCAGCCCAACCCCGUCACCUACUCCACCGUCCUGUUCAUCUGGUUGAAGGCCAGGAAGAGCUCGCCGUGCCGCGAAGCUCUUCGAGAAGCUGCGGGAGUCCGGCACGGAGAUGGACCCGGUGACCGGUGUUGUGCCAGACGAUGGUGGUCGCGUACGAGCGCGCCGGGCUUGUCUCACACUCCAAGCGACCGCUGUGCGAGCUCAGAGACCCGGACCAGGUCAUCGUCAAGGAGACGGCCAUGA